GCCUCUCACAAUGCGUCAUGGUCGAAAACCCACCCUUUCCUUUCGUUGCUACGGACUACAGAGUGUGACGCUGGGCUAUCGAGACUGUGUGCAGGUGUGAUGUGCUGCCCAAUCUCAGUGCGCUGUGCCGUCAAGGCUCCCAACUGUGUAGCAUGCUAGUUUAACGUAGCUCCGGUCGGAGCUCCAGCUGUCGUCGUCACAACUAUUAAAGACGCUAUCAUGACUUUCGUAUGUACCAUCGUGAGUAUCAUGUCAUCGGAUCACGGGGUGCCCUGAAAGCUGUUGCUAAGUCCAUGAAAACGUCAACACUCAGAAUACAUAACUAAUGCUCUACGAGGAAUCCACCUGAGGAGCACAAGCCUUCAACUAAAAGCACACAGGCAAUCUCACCCUGAGUCUGGUGCAAGCAGAACUAAAAUACCAUCAGUUAAAAUGUUAGCCAAUCAAUGGGAAAGGCGAGAGGUCAGGGGAGGAGGCAAAUCCUGCGUAAGGAAAAGUCACGCUCUCUUUCGGCUGCAGGCGAGACACGGAGAAGAUCACACUGGAGAACUGUAAAGUGAUUAAUGCUACUUUUCGUGCUUAAGUAAUACUUAAUGGUUUUCAGACCGAUAACCUAUUCACUACUUUGCAUGCGGAAGAAGUUGGUAUCACAUAGAGACAUUUUCAAAAUGAAUUUGUCGGAAUAGCUCAGCUAAUAGUAUUGCCUGAAAAGUUAGCAACUCGGUAGCUGGGACUGUGUUAGGCUAACUGACUUCGUCAACCAAUGAGUUGCCUCUGAGGAACAAGACUGUGGGACUAACCGGAGGAAGACGGCCUGCUGUUUGAACUGAUACGCGAACUACAGCAUCGCGUGAGCAACUGCACACACCGAGAGCGCACGAGCAGGGCUGCAGUGACGGUGCAUGGACCCUCUCUGGGCACGGACAUCCCCAUCAACCUUGUGAGUGAAUUUGUUUGGUUUUGUUGUGCGAUUCGCAUGAAGUGGCCAAUACAGUUUUAAGGCCUCAACGUCCCCAAGCUACGAUUUAGGCCUGCAUCAGGAACAUUGGUGUAUGUGGGGUUUAUAGAAAUUCUGGUGUGCCGGCUUAGGUAGGCUAUUGUUUUGGGCCCAUAGGUUAAAGGGUAUAACUGAAAACUGCUUGUUUUAUGCAUAUACAUGGGGUUAUAUGUAACCUGUUGGUUUAGUAAUGGUAUUGAUUUAAAAACCUCAGAAAAAGGAUACGUUAUACAUUUUACAUAUACAUUUUAGCCUGUGUUGUAUUUGCAAUUGUUUGAUAUCCAUGAGAGCAGAGUAUUUUUCUGAUUUUUUUUAAACAAAAGAUCAAACAGUUAAACAAUAAAGACAAUUUUUCACAGCCUUCUUUGCUCAUAUUUACCAACGGUGCCAAUGUCAGUGGAGGGCACUGUAUAAAAUAUUUGGUGUAAUCAGACUUUGAUAGAAUUGUGUAUUCGUUCAUGGGUGCAUGCUUGCAAAAGCAAGUGUGUGAGUUUUAAUAUCAGCUGUAGAUUGCCAUUUGUAUUACGGCUCAACCUUUAAGAAAAAUAUGUGACUAAUGACAAUGAACAGUUUACAAAUACAAAAGUAACACACAAACUCUGUACAACGGACAAAGCCCUUUUAACUGUAAUAUAAAGUUUCUACAGCUUAUUGAUGUUUUUUCUUUAGCGUUCUUUCUUUCUUGAUUAAGAAAUUACUCUAUAGGUAACAUUUAGCCCAGUGGUGCUCUUUAACACUUGCUGUGUGCUCUUUAACACUUCAUUUAAUGUGUUGCAUGAAACCGCUGACAGCAGAAUGUGCUAAAGCGGAACAGAAAUGCAGAAGGACAGAACAUCUAACCCCAGUUUGUAUAAUAUCUAAUGUCUAACUAUUUGAAAGCUUUUAGGUUAAUAUUAGCUGAAAUCCUCUUAUUGAUCAUUAUUUGCAACCACAUACCAUGGUAAAUCAGUGACUGUGGAUCUCACAUGAAGUCACAUGAUCUACAGCUAUCAUCAG
ensembl:lncRNA